rnacentral:rRNA from 1 species
UACGUAGGUGGCGAACGUUAUCCGGAAUUAUUGGGCGUAAAGGGUGCGUAGGCGGCAUGAUAAGUUAUUGGCGGCAAAUCGAGGCUCAACCUCGUGGAAACUGAUAAUACUGUCUUGCUUGAGAGCAGAAGAGGUUAACGGAACUCCAUGUGGAGCGGUAAAAUGUGUAGAUAUAUGGAAGAACAUCAAUAACGGCGAAGGCAGUUAACUAUUCUGUUACUGACGUUGAGGCACGAAAGCGUGGGGAGCAAAAAGG